GACGAACGCUGGCGGCGUGCUUAACACAUGCAAGUCGAACGGAAAGGCCCUGCUUGCAGGGUACUCGAGUGGCGAACGGGUGAGUAACACGUGGGUGAUCUGCCCUGCACUUCGGGAUAAGCCUGGGAAACUGGGUCUAAUACCGGAUAGGAGCCAUUUUUAGUGUGAUGGUUGGAAAGUUUUUUCGGUGUAGGAUGAGCUCGCGGCCUAUCAGCUUGUUGGUGGGGUAAUGGCCUACCAAGGCGGCGACGGGUAGCCGGCCUGAGAGGGUGGACGGCCACAUUGGGACUGAGAUACGGCCCAGACUCCUACGGGAGGCAGCAGUGGGGAAGAUUGCACAAUGGGCGCAAGCCUGAUGCAGCGACGCCGCGUGGGGGAUGACGGCCUUCGGGUUGUAAACGCCUUUCGCUAGGGACGAAGCUUUUUGUGACGGUACCUAGAUAAGAAGCACCGGCUAACUACGUG
rnacentral:rRNA from 1 species